rnacentral:rRNA from 1 species
AACGAACGCUGGCGGCAUGCCUAACACAUGCAAGUCGAACGAGACCUUCGGGUCUAGUGGCGCACGGGUGCGUAACGCGUGGGAACCUGCCCUUAGGUUCGGAAUAACUCCCCGAAAGGGGUGCUAAUACCGGCUAAUGUCUUCGGACCAAAGAUUUAUCGCCUUUGGAUGGGCCCGCGUUGGAUUAGCUCGUUGGUAGGGUAAAAGCCUACCAAGGCGACGAUCCAUAGCUGGUCUGAGAGGAUGAUCAGCCACACUGGGACUGAGACACGGCCCAGACUCCUACGGGAGGCAGCAGUGGGGAAUAUUGGACAAUGGGCGAAAGCCUGAGCCAGCAAUGCCGCGUGAGUGAUGAAGGCCUUAGGGUUGUAAAGCUCUUUUACCCGGGAUGAUAAUGACAGUACCGGGAGAAUAAGCUCCGGCUAACUCCGUG